GUCCUUUAGAUGUUAAUUUAAGGUCUAACCUGCCCACUGAAUUAUUUUAAAUGGCCGCAGUAAUUUGACUGUGCAAAGGUAGCAUAAUCAUUAGUUUUUUAAUUGAAAGCUUGUAUGAAAGGUUGGACGAAGUAAAAUCUGUCUCUAAUUAAAUUAAUUUAGAAUUUAACUUUUAAGUUAAAAGGCUUAAAUUUAACUAAAAGACGAGAAGACCCUAUAGAUCUUUAUAUUUAAAUUAAUAAAUUUAAUUAAGAAUUUUUAAAAUUUUAUUAAUUUAAUUAUUUUAUUGGGGUAAUAUAAAGAUUAAAAUAAUUCUUUUUUUUUAUUAACAUUAAUUUAUGAUUUUGAUGAUCCAAUUAUAUUGAUUUUAAGAUUAAGUUACCUUAGGGAUAACAGCGUAAUUUUUUUAGAGAGUUCUUAUCGAUAAGAAAGUUUACGACCUCGAUGUUGGAUUAAAGAUUAUUUUAGGUGUAGAAGCUUAAAAAUUUUGGUCUGUUCGACCAUUAAAUCUUUACAUGAUCUGAGUUCAGACCGGUGUAAGCCAGGUCGGUUUCUAUCUUUAGUAAAUUAAAAUAUUUUAGUACGAAAGGACCAAUUAUUUAAUAUAAAUAUUUAAAUUUUGAUUAUUAUUAA
rnacentral:rRNA from 1 species